ensembl:lncRNA
GGAGGCAGGGACGGAAAGGGAGAGGAAAGAAGAAGUUUAGAGUCUUCUUUUAUGAAGUUAAUCAUCAAGUAUACAAGGAUCCCGGCGGACAAAACUGUCGACCCUUUGCCCUGUUAUAUGAAAUUAAGCUGAAAUUUGUGCAGCAGCAGCAACAGAGCUUGGUGGGCAGGAGGGGCAUUCAAGGGAAAGGGAGGAACAGAGCUGGGCUACAGACUCACACGCUGCCUGUGCUGGCUGAUGGAAUAUAUGGUUACCAAACAUGAAUAAGGAAGGAGCGUUGAAUACCCAACAUGAACAGCCCACCCUCCACAUGCACACAC